rnacentral:rRNA from 1 species
UGUCCUACGGGGCGCAGCAGUGGGGGAUAUUGGACAAUGGGGGAAACCCUGAUCCAGCGACGCCGCGUGAGUGAAGAAGUAUUUCGGUAUGUAAAGCUCUAUCAGCAGGGAAGAAAGAAAUGACGGUACCUGAGUAAGAAGCCCCGGCUAACUACGUGCCAGCAGCCGCGGUAAUACGUAGGGGGCAAGCGUUAUCCGGAUUUACUGGGUGUAAAGGGAGCGUAGACGGCUGUGCAAGUCUGAAGUGAAAGCCCGGGGCCCAACCCCGGGACUGCUUUGGAAACUGCCAUGCUGGAGUGCUGGAG